rnacentral:rRNA from 1 species
GAGUAAUGUCUGGGAAACUGCCUGAUGGAGGGGGAGUAACUACUGGAAACGGUAGCUAAUACCGCAUAACGUCGCAAGACCAAAGUGGGGGACCUUCGGGCCUCAUGCCAUCAGAUGUGCCCAGAUGGGAUUAGCUAGUAGGUGGGGUAAUGGCUCACCUAGGCGACGAUCCCUAGCUGGUCUGAGAGGAUGACCAGCCACACUGGAACUGAGACACGGUCCAG